rnacentral:rRNA from 14 species
UGAAGAGUUUGAUCAUGGCUCAGAUUGAACGCUGGCGGCAGGCCUAACACAUGCAAGUCGAGCGGAUGAGUGGAGCUUGCUCCAUGAUUCAGCGGCGGACGGGUGAGUAAUGCCUAGGAAUCUGCCUGGUAGUGGGGGAUAACGUUCGGAAACGGACGCUAAUACCGCAUACGUCCUACGGGAGAAAGCAGGGGACCUUCGGGCCUUGCGCUAUCAGAUGAGCCUAGGUCGGAUUAGCUAGUUGGUGGGGUAAUGGCUCACCAAGGCGACGAUCCGUAACUGGUCUGAGAGGAUGAUCAGUCACACUGGAACUGAGACACGGUCCAGACUCCUACGGGAGGCAGCAGUCGGGAAUAUUGGACAAUGGGCGCAAGCCUGAUCCAGCAAUGCCGCGUGAGUGAUGAAGGCCUUAGGGU